rnacentral:misc_RNA from 1 species
AAAAGUCGUAACAAGGUCUCCGUAGGUGAACCUGCGGAGGGAUCAUUACCGAGAGAGGGUCGCCCCCGCGCGCCCGACCUCCCAACCCUUUUGAUUGACCGUUACCUCGUUGCCUCGGGGGGUCCGGCCUCGGCCGCCCCCGGUGGGCCAACCCAUCAAAACUCUGCGUCCUUGCGUCGGAGUCUUAUAUGAAAUCGUUUAAAACUUUCAACAACGGAUCUCUUGGUUCUC